AGCCCAAAAUGGGGUGUUGACCGUCUCUCUCUCCUCUUCUCGACUCUCUCUCGUCCCUCAUCUCUGUCGCACCGAAGCGCCGCCGUCCGGCCGUCGCUGGCCGAGCAACCCUCAAUCGGCUUGUCUCUCUCUCCUCUCUCUACUGCUACCCAUCAACUUGCCAGGCAUCAUCUAUUCCGUCCGAUCGAAACAAGAACCCUAAAUCUCCAAAACCCAAAUUCCGGCCAAAUCCUUUCCUUCUCCGGUGAGGCCAUGCUUUAAAAAGUGUUCUUGGGUUUUCUGGCGACCUCAUCGAGCUCUGGUGGAACCCAAAAACGUUUUAGUGGCGUCUUGGAAGCAGCAACGGUGUUUAUGGAGGAAGACAGGGAUUGGGUUCUCGGCUGAGGACUGCUAUGCCAUAACCUUGUUGUUAGUUGGUCAUCUAAGGAAAGGAGAAUACAGGGAGGUCAUGUCAAAUUCCGGCAGCAAGCUGCCGGAAUCAGACAAAAUAUUCCAGCGAGGGUAGCAGAAUCCAGCAGAGAGCCGUGGAGGUUAAGGUUUCGUUUGGGGGCAACGCUCGAGGAGUAUUUCGGUUAUUUAUUGGGAAGCUUAUGUCUAAAUUUGUGAGUGGACAUUUUGGUUUUUAAUUAAUAUGCAU